rnacentral:rRNA from 1 species
AAUUAAGCUACUAAGGGCACACGGCGGAUGCCUUGGCGCCAAGAGCCGAUGAAGGGCGUGGUUGACUGCGAUAAGCCUCGGGGAGCCGUCAGCAGGCGCUAUAUCCGAGGAUUCCCGAAUGGGGUAACCCACCUGGGCCAUACCCAGGUACCCCCAACUGAACACAUAGGUUGGGUGGAGGGAACGAGGGGAACUGAAACAUCUCAGUACCCUCAGGAAAAGAGAGCAUUCCCCGAGUAGUGGCGAGCGAAAGGGGAGUAGCCCAAACUCACCCCGCGUAUAGGUUGCAGCCGUUGCGUGGUGGGGGUUGUAAGGCGCGGCGGGGCUGCUGCAACAGCCCAGAGAAGUUACAAAACCAUUCCUGAGUCGAAAGGUUCAGGAAAGGCCUACCGUAGAGGGUGAUAGUCCCGUAGGCGAAAGGAAUGGACUUCUGCCGCUGACCUUGAGUACCGCGGGGCACGCUAAUCCUGCGGGAAGCAGGGAGGCCCACCUCCCAAGGCUAAAUACUCUUGGCGACCGAUAGUGAACCAGUACCGUGAGGGAAAGGUGAAAAGAACCGGGGUGACCGGAGUGAAAUAGAACCUGAAACCGUGUGCUUACAAACAGUGGGAGGGCUAUGCCGCCUAGUGCGGAACGCCUGACCGCGUGCCUUUUGGAGAAUGAUCCGGCGAGUUAAUCCGUGUGGCAAGGUUAAGGGGGUGACACCCGGAGCCGCAGCGAAAGCGAGUCUGAACAGGGCGCUCAGUCGCAUGGAUUAGACCCGAAACCGGGUGAGCUACCUAUGGACAGGGUGAAGCGAAGGUAAAACUUCGUGGAGGCCCGAACCUACCAAUGUUGCAAAAUUGGGGGAUGAGCCGUGGGUAGGGGUGAUAUGCCAAACGAACCCGGAGAUAGCUGGUUCUCCCCGAAAUAGCUUUAGGGCUAGCCUCAGGGGUUCAGUAGCGGAGGUAGAGCACUGAAUUGGCUAGGGGGCGUAGAGCUUACCAAACCAAAUCAAACUCCGAAUGCCGCUACUUCAUACCCUGGGAGUCGGACGGUGGGAGAUGAUUUUCAUCGUCGAGAGGGAAACAGCCCAGACCGCCGGCUAAGGUCCCGGAAUCCAGGCUAAGUGUUAAAGGAUGUGGGGUUACUCAGACAGCCAGGAGGUUGGCUUAGAAGCAGCCACCCUUUAAAGAGUGCGUAAUAGCUCACUGGUCGAGUGGUCCUGCGCCGACAAUAUAUCGGGGCUCAAGCCUGGUACCGAAGCCGCGGGUCUCGACCUCGAGUCGAGACGGUAGGGGAGCGUUCUGUACUCGCUGAGAAGCCAGACCGUGAGGACUGGUGGAGCGUACAGAAGUGCGAAUGCCGGAAUGAGUAGCGUAAAACACGUGAGAACCGUGUUCGCCGUAAGUCUAAGGUUUCCUACGCAAGGUUUUUCCGCGUAGGGUUAGUCGGGCCUAAGCCGAGGCCGACAGGCGUAGGCGAUGGACAACGGGUCAACAUUCCCGUACCACCUCGGAGGAGCUAAGGGGGGACGCAGGGUGGUAGGUCAGCCUCUUAUUGGAUUGAGGUGCUAAGCCUGUAGGGAGAUGAAGGGGGUUGGUAAAUCCGCUCCCAGAUCCUGAGGGGUGAUGGCGGUGCUUCAAGCCAGAAGUGACUGAGCCACACUGCCGAGAAAAACCUCUAUGCGUUGAGUCCGGGGUGCCCGUACCGCAAACCGACACUGGUAGACGGGUAGAGUAUACCAAGGCGAUCGGGAGAACCCUCGCUAAGGAACUAGGCAAAAUGACUCCGUAACUUCGGGAGAAGGAGUGCCCCGUUAGGGUGAAGCAAAUCUUGCGGAGCCCGAGGGGGUCGCAGAGAAAUGGCCCUGCCGACUGGUUAACAAAACCACAGGUCUCUGCCAAAGCGUAAGCUGACGUAUAGGGGCUGACGCCUGCCCAGUGCCGGAAGGUUAAAGGGAAGGGUUAGCCGCAAGGCGAAGCUCUGAACUGAAGCCCCGGUGAACGGCGGCCGUAACUAUAACGGUCCUAAGGUAGCGAAAUUCCUCGUCGGGUAAGUUCCGACCCGCACGAACGGCGUAACGAGUGGGGCGCUGUCUCAGCGAGGGACCCGGCGAAAUUGAAAUAGGCGUGAAGAUGCGUCUUACCCGCAGCAGGACAAAAAGACCCCGUGGAGCUUUACUGCAUCUUGGUAUUGAGUUGGGAUUUGGUCUGUGUAGGAUAGCUGGGAGACUGUGAAACUGGGGCGCCAGCCUCGGUGGAGUCGCCCUUGAAAUACCAGCCUGAUCAAGUUUCGACCCUAACUCGUGACCGUGACCCGGCACGAGGACAGUGCCAGGUGGGCAGUUUGACUGGGGCGGUCGCCUCCGAAAGGGUAACGGAGGCGCCCAAAGGUUCCCUCAGGCUGAAUGGAAACCAGCCAGAGAGUGCAAAGGCAUAAGGGAGCUUGACUGCAAGACCUACAAGUCGAGCAGAGACGAAAGUCGGGCUUAGUGAUCCCACGGUACCGGGUGGAAGGGCCGUGGCUUACCGGAUAAAAGCUACCCCGGGGAUAACAGGGUAGUCUUGCCCAAGAGUUCACAUCGACGGCAAGGUUCGCCACCUCGAUGUCGGCUCGUCACAUCCUGGGGCUGGACAAGGUCCCAAGGGUUCGGCUGUUCUCCGAUUAAAGUGGCACGCGAGCUGGGUUCAGACCGUCGUGAGACAGGUCGGUCUCUAUCCGCUGCGGGCGUAGGUGACUUGAGAGGAGCUGCUCCCAGUACGAGAGGACCGGAGUGGACAGACCGCUGGUGUGCCGGUUGUACCGCCAGGUGCAUCGCCGGGUAGCCAUGUCUGGCAAGGAUAACCGCUGAAUGCAUCUAAGUGGGAAGCCUGCCUCAAGAUUAGGUCACCCAUCUCCUCGUGAGAGUAAGACCCCUGGCAGACCACCAGGUUGAUAGGCGGCACGUGUAAGCACCGCAAGGUGUUCAGCUAAGCCGUACUAAUGGUCGAGGGCUUAAUUCC